rnacentral:rRNA from 1 species
CACGUGAGCAACCUACCCUUGACACUGGGAUAACAGUUGGAAACAGCUGCUAAUACCGGAUACGAACUCAGCAGGCAUCUGCCGAGUUGGAAAGCUCCGACGGUCAAGGGUGGGCUCGCGGCCUAUCAGCUUGUUGGUGAGGUAACGGCUCACCAAGGCGACGACGGGUAGCCGGCCUGAGAGGGCGACCGGCCACACUGGGACUGAGAUACGGCACAGACUCCUACGGGAGGCAGCAGUGGGGAAUAUUGCGCAAUGGGCGAAAGCCUGACGCAGCAACGCCGCGUGCGGGAUGACGGCCUUCGGGUUGUAAACCGCUUUCAGCAGGGACGAAACUGACGGUACCUGCAGAAGAAGCACCGGCUAACUACGUG